rnacentral:rRNA from 1 species
GACGAACGCUGGCGGCGUGCCUAAUACAUGCAAGUAGAACGCUGAAGGAGGAGCUUGCUUCUCUGGAUGAGUUGCGAACGGGUGAGUAACGCGUAGGUAACCUGCCUGGUAGCGGGGGAUAACUAUUGGAAACGAUAGCUAAUACCGCAUAAUAGUAGAUGUUGCAUGACAUUUGCUUAAAAGGUGCAAUUGCAUCACUACCAGAUGGACCUGCGUUGUAUUAGCUAGUUGGUGGGGUAACGGCUCACCAAGGCAACGAUACACAGCCGACCUGAGAGGGUGAUCGGCCACACUGGGACUGAGACACGGCCCAGACUCCUACGGGAGGCAGCAGUAGGGAAUCUUCGGCAAUGGACGGAAGUCUGACCGAGCAACGCCGCGUGAGUGAAGAAGGUUUUCGGAUCGUAAAGCUCUGUUGUAAGAGAGGAACGAGUGUGAGAGUGGAAAGUUCACACUGUGACGGUAUCUUACCAGAAAGGGACGGCUAACUACGUGCCAGCAGCCGCGGUAAUACGUAGGUCCCGAGCGUUGUCCGGAUUUAUUGGGCGUAAAGCGAGCGCAGGCGGUUAGAUAAGUCUGAAGUUAAAGGCUGUGGCUUAACCAUAGUACGCUUUGGAAACUGUUUAACUUGAGUGCAAGAGGGGAGAGUGGAAUUCCAUGUGUAGCGGUGAAAUGCGUAGAUAUAUGGGGGAACACCGGUGGCGAAAGCGGCUCUCUGGCUUGUAACUGACGCUGAGGCUCGAAAGCGUGGGGAGCAAACAGG